GUGGGUGUAGCUCAGUGGCAGAGCGUCUGACUGUGGCUCAGAAAGUCGCGAGUUCAAACCUCGUCACCCACC
rnacentral:tRNA from 1 species